rnacentral:ncRNA from 1 species
UCUUAUACAGAGAGGUGGAGGGGAGUACCCUGCGAAGCCCGGCAACCGUCAAAUUACUUGAAAUGGUGCCAAGUCACACAAAGCGUAUGCUUUGAAAGAUGAGA